UACUUUUGUCUAACAUGGAUUUGCCCAGAUUAUAAGUUUUCCUCACUUGUAAAAUUUUAUAUUUCAGGGUUUUCUCAAUUACGCUCUGAGUUGUAAGCAUUGCCUGUUUUUCUCCCUACCUUGUUUAACACUGGCCAUAAGUCUAUGCAUAUUUACCCUUGUCGGCAUGUUGGCUUCCUCCUCUUCUUUGAUGCUAAUUAGUUUGUCAUUUGUUCUUAUGUUCACUGUUAGUUUUAUCUUUUCAUCUUUAAUCAUGGAAACAAUCAUUAUUGCAACGAAUCAAGUAACUAUAUUUCUUACCUUCUUUUCCAAUGACGGAAUAUGCAUUUAGCAUGCAACAAAAAGACACAUUUCCUCCUUCAUAUGAUAGGGGCCAAGAAGGGAUCUACGGACCAUGCAACAAAGCACAUCAAGUCAAUUAUAAUGUCCUCAAAUAUCAUACAACCAUGUACACACCAGCCAAAUGGCAAAUUGUUCACUUAAUUGAUUCUGUCCUCUCUGUUACUCUCUUUGUUUUACAUAAUGAUCUUUUGCUAAUAAGUUGAUGCAAAAAGUAGUUGGUCUCAUCAAGCAGUAGCGGAUAUGAUUACUCUUUGCAGUGGUCCCCUUUAAUUAAGUCCUGCUAUCUAUUGCCAGACCCUUUAUGCAGUGUCUUUACUUAUAAAGCAAGUCAAUUCCAUUUCCAUUGCGUAGUACUUCCCUUUUUCUGGUACAUAAAUAUCUUGGGGCAGAUAGGCUGCUCCGACCCUCAGGCUAGUGCGCAGAUGUAGAGUUUCUCACUUGCCUUGUGGCAAGGCUUACAUUCUGGAUAGCACCAAGGAGCCAGUGGUGCUUGUCAAAGUGCCUGUAUUUUUUUUUUAUUACAGACUCAUGGUUGCCAUUCACAGGAGAUUAAGACUAAGGUGUCAAUGCCUUUUGCUACAUCUACUGUCCAACUGGCUUCAUUGCUAGCAAGCCGGAUGUGUAGGAUGGGUUUUAGAGCAACUCGCAAGGAAGAAUUAACAUUCAAUCAAAUUAUGAUCUCAAUUUUGUAGAACUCUUUGAACUUUAUUGGUAGCUAGAGUUUGGAAGCGUCCAUCAUCCUUUAAUGAAGGAGGAGUGAGAUUGAAAAGACUGGUUUUCUGCUAUUCUGUAAAUUCUCUAUGGUUGUUUCUGGUAAUCAGCAAGAUAAGAGGGCAAAAAAAAAAAUCACUUUUUUUUGGGUUGUUAGGAAAAGAUGAUAUAAUCUUUUUAGUCUGUUCAUUUUGUUGGGAAACAUGAUUGCUGGAAUUAUUUGAGAAGUCAUGUUUAUUUAUAUAGAAGAUAAUGACGCUGAACAAUUGGAUGGCUAUAUUUGUCUCCUUUCUAUUCAUUCAAGUUGGAUUCUCUAAUGAAGUUUUGAAUUUCAGAUA